rnacentral:rRNA from 1 species
CGGACGGGUGAGUAACGCGUGGGUAACCUGCCUCAUACAGGGGGAUAACAGUUAGAAAUGACUGCUAAUACCGCAUAAGCGCACGGUCUCGCAUGGGACAGUGUGAAAAACUCCGGUGGUAUGAGAUGGACCCGCGUCCGAUUAGCUGGUUGGUGAGGUAAGGGCUCACCAAGGCGACGAUCAGUAGCCGGCCUGAGAGGGUGAACGGCCACAUUGGGACUGAGACACGGCCCAAACUCCUACGGAAGGCAGCAG